rnacentral:rRNA from 1 species
AUUGAACGCUGGCGGCAGGCCUAACACAUGCAAGUCGAACGGUAACAGGAAACAGCUUGCUGUUUCGCUGACGAGUGGCGGACGGGUGAGUAAUGUCUGGGAAACUGCCUGAUGGAGGGGGAUAACUACUGGAAACGGUAGCUAAUACCGCAUAACGUCGCAAGACCAAAGAGGGGGGACCCCUUCGGGGCCUCUUUGCCAUCGGAUGUGCCCAGAUGGGAUUAGCUUGUUGGUGGGGUAACGGCUCACCAAGGCGACGAUCCCUAGCUGGGUCUGAGAGGAUGACCAGCCACACUGGAACUGAGACACGGUCCAGACUCCUACGGGAGGCAGCAGUGGGGAAUAUUGCACAAUGGGCGCAAGCCUGAUGCAGCCAUGCCGCGUG